UACAGAGGGUGCGAGCGUUGUCCGGAAUCACUGGGCGUAAAGGGCGCGUAGGUGGCGCGACAAGUCAGUGGUGAAAGUUCGACGCUCAACGUCGAAUCGGCCACUGAUACUGUUGGGCUUGAGCACUGUAGAGGCUAAUGGAAUUCCGGGUGUAGCGGUGGAAUGCGUAGAGAUCGGGAGGAACAUCAGUGGCGAAGGCGGCCAUCUGGGACAACACUGACGCUGAGGCACGAAAGCGUGGGGAGCAAACAGG
rnacentral:rRNA from 1 species